UACGUAGGCAGCGAGCGUUGUUCGGAAUUACUGGGCGUAAAGAGUGUGUAGGUGGUGUCGUAAGUUUGGUGUGAAAUCUCCCGGCUUAACUGGGAGGGUGCGCCGCAGACUGCGAUGCUGGAGUAUGGGAGAGGAAAGCGGAAUUCCUGGUGUAGCGGUGAAAUGCGUAGAUAUCAGGAGGAACACCUGCGGUGUAGACGGCUUUCUGGACCAUUACUGACACUGAGACACGAAAGCGUGGGUAGCAAACAGG
rnacentral:rRNA from 1 species